CUCGGCCAUCUCCUGGGCCAUCUCCUGAGGUAGCUGCUUCACAGCCCACUCAUCUACGUACUCCAUUAUCUGGAUCAGACACUCAUUCUCCUCAGCUGAAGGACGAGGUUCCAUGUCGAUUGUAUUUGGUAGAUCCAACUAGUGGAGAGACUUGUCUAGUGGCAGAUGCAUAUUCUUAUGCUUUUGAUGAGACCACUACAGUUCAUGGGUCUAGAAUGAUGAAUGAUCACCUAAAAGUGAAAAUUCAUCGAAUUAUAGAGAAAUAUGGUCAUUUGCCACUACCUGUUCCCGUCCCUGCAUAUGAGAUCGACACUACAGCUACUGCUUUGGGUACUUGGGUGCAAUGGCCAAAAAAUUUAGCACAAAUGUUAAGUGAUGAGGGAUUUCGGGGGAGGCUGUUAGAUCUUCUAGCCAGUUGCAUUCAUCAGCCGGUUCGGCUUCUCAGUUU